UACAGAGGGUGCGAGCGUUGUUCGGAAUUACUGGGCGUAAAGCGCGCGCAGGCGGCCUUUUAAGUCUGACGGUGAAAUGCCGGGGCUCAACCCCGUGCCCGCCGCGGAUACUGGGAGGCUGGAGACAUGUAGAGGCAAGCGGAAUUCCGGGUGUAGCGGUGGAAUGCGUGGAGAUCCGGAAGAACACCGGAGGCGAAGGCGGCUUGCUGGGCAUUGUCUGACGCUGAGGCGCGAAAGCGUGGGGAGCGAACAGG
rnacentral:rRNA from 1 species